AACGAACGCUGGCGGCGUGUCUUAAGCAUGCAAGUCGUGCGGCAAGGCGGGGCAACCCGCCCUAGAGCGGCGGACUGGUGAGUAACGCGUGGGUGAUCUGCCUUUGGGAUGGGGAUAGCCAUUAGAAAUAGUGGGUAAUACCGAAUACGUUCAUCCGGUUGCGACCGGGUGAGGAAAAGCGCUUCGGCGCUGCCCGAAGAUGAGCCCGCGUCCCAUUAGCUAGUUGGUGAGGUAAUGGCCCACCAAGGCGAUGAUGGGUAGCCGGCCUGAGAGGGUGUACGGCAACACUGGGACUGAGAUACGGCCCAGACUCCUACGGGAGGCAGCAGCUAAGAAUAUUCCGCAAUGGACGAAAGUCUGACGGAGCGACGCCGCGUGGAUGACGAAGGCCGAAAGGUUGUAAAGUCCUUUUGUUGGGGAAGAAUAACCAUGGGAGGGAAUGCCCGUGGGAUGACAUGAACCGACGAAUAAGCCCCGGCUAACUACGUGCCAGCCGCCGCCGUAA
rnacentral:rRNA from 1 species